UGGGGAAUAUUGGGCAAUGGGCGAAAGCCUGACCCAGCGACGCCGCGUGAAGGAAGAAGGUCUUCGGAUUGUAAACUUUUGUCAACAGGGAAGAAGGAAUUAUGCCUGCAAAGGUAUGAUUUUUGACGGUACCUGUGAAGGAAGCCACGGCUAACUACGUGCCAGCAGCCGCGGUAAUACGUAGGUGGCGAGCGUUAUCCGGAAUUACUGGGUGUAAAGGGUGUGUAGGCGGGCAGUUAAGUCAGAUGUGAAAAGCCAUGGCUCAACCAUGGUCGUGCAUUUGAAACUGACAGUCUUGAGAGUGGGAGGGGUAAGCGGAAUUCCUGGUGUAGCGGUGAAAUGCGUAGAUAUCAGGAGGAACACCGGUGGCGAAGGCGGCUUACUGGACCAUAACUGACGCUGAGACACGAAAGCGUGGGGAGCAAACA
rnacentral:rRNA from 1 species